GAUGAACGCUGGCGGCGUGCUUAACACAUGCAAGUCGAACGGACCUUUGAUGAAGCCUAGCGAUUUAAAGGUUAGUGGCGGACGGGUGAGUAACGCGUGGGUAACCUGCCUAUCAGAGGGGAACAACAGUUAGAAAUGACUGCUAAUACCGCAUAUGCCUAAGUACCACAUGGUACAAUAGGGAAAGGAGCAAUCCGCUGAUAGAUGGGCUUGCGUCUGAUUAGAUAGUUGGUGGGGUAACGGCCUACCAAGUCGACGAUCAGUAGCCGGACUGAGAGGUUGAACGGCCACAUUGGGACUGAGAUACGGCCCAGACUCCUACGGGAGGCAGCAGUGGGGAAUAUUGGGCAAUGGGGGAAACCCUGACCCAGCAACGCCGCGUGAAGGAAGAAGGCUUUCGGGUUGUAAACUUCUUUUAAGAGGGACGAUAAUGACGGUACCUCUUGAAUAAGCCACGGCUAACUACGUG
rnacentral:rRNA from 1 species